GACGAACGCUGGCGGCGUGCUUAACACAUGCAAGUCGAACGGAAAGGCCCUGCUCUUGUGGGGUGCUCGAGUGGCGAACGGGUGAGUAACACGUGAGUAACCUGCCCUUGACUUUGGGAUAACUUCAGGAAACUGGGGCUAAUACCGGAUAGGAGCUCCUGCUGCAUGGUGGGGGUUGGAAAGUUUCGGCGGUUGGGGAGGGACUCGCGGCUUAUCAGCUUGUUGGGGGGGUAGUGGCUUUCCAAGGCUUUGAAGGGUAGCCGGCCUGAGCGGGUGACCGGCCACAUUGGGACUGAGAUACGGCACAGACUCCUACGGGAGGCAGCAGUGGGGAAUAUUGCACAAUGGGCGGAAGCCUGAUGCAGCAACGCCGCGUGCGGGAUGACGGCCUUCGGGUUGUAAACCGCUUUCGCCUGUGACGAAGCGUGAGUGACGGUAAUGGGUAAAGAAGCACCGGCUAACUACGUG
rnacentral:rRNA from 1 species